rnacentral:rRNA from 1 species
UCGGGAAUUUUGGGCAAUGGGCGAAAGCCUGACCCAGCAACGCCGCGUGAAGGAUGAAGUAUUUCGGUAUGUAAACUUCGAAAGAAUAGGAAGAAUAAAUGACGGUACUAUUUAUAAGGUCCGGCUAACUACGUGCCAGCAGCCGCGGUAAUACGUAGGGACCAAGCGUUGUUCGGAUUUACUGGGCGUAAAGGGCGCGUAGGCGGCAAUUCAAGUCAUCUGUGAAAUCUCCGGGCUUAACUCGGAACGGUCAGAUGAUACUGCUUUGCUAGAGUGCAGAAGGGGCAAUCGGAAUUCUUGGUGUAGCGGUGAAAUGCGUAGAUAUCGGGAGGAACACCUGUGGCGAAGGCGGCCACCUGGUUGGAUACUGACGCUGAGACGCGAAAGCGUGGGGAGCAAACAGGAUUAGAUACCCCUGUAGUCCCUGAGCGGGCUGGCAAGGCGCAU